UACGUAGGGUGCGAGCGUUAAUCGGAAUUACUGGGCGUAAAGCGUGCGCAGGCGGCGCCGCAAGUCAGGCGUGAAAUCCCCGGGCUUAACCUGGGAAUUGCGCUUGAAACUACGGUGCUGGAGUGUGACAGAGGGAGGUGGAAUUCCACGUGUAGCGGUGAAAUGCGUAGAGAUGUGGAGGAACACCGAUGGCGAAGGCAGCCCCCUGGGCUAACACUGACGCUGAUGCACGAAAGCGUGGGGAGCAAACAGG
rnacentral:rRNA from 1 species